rfam:Cerapachys biroi unplaced genomic scaffold scaffold102, whole genome shotgun sequence.
ACUAAAUAGAUGAGUCUAUAAUAUAUUAAAAACGGAUACAGAAACGAUUAGCAAGGCCCCUACGCAAGGUAGGACGUAUCAUAGGUAAAAGCAUAGCAUGUGCUU